rnacentral:rRNA from 1 species
GACGAACGCUGGCGGCGUGCUUAACACAUGCAAGUCGAACGGAAAGGCCCUGCUUGCAGGGUACUCGAGUGGCGAACGGGUGAGUAACACGUGGGUGAUCUGCCCUGCACUUCGGGAUAAGCCUGGGAAACUGGGUCUAAUACCGGAUAUGACCUUCCAUGUAGUGUGGGGGGUGGAAAGAUUUAUCGGUGUGGGAUGAGCCCGCGGCCUAUCAGCUUGUUGGUGGGGUAAUGGCCUACCAAGGCGUCGACGGGUAGCCGGCCUGAGAGGGUGGACGGCCACAUUGGGACUGGGAUACGGCCCAGACUCCUACGGGAGGCAGCAGUGGGGAAUAUUGCACAAUGGGCGGAAGCCUUAUGCAGCGACGCCGCGUGGGGGAUGACGGCCUUCGGGUUGUAAACCUCUUUCGACAGGGACGAAGCUUCGGUGACGGUACCUGUAUAAGAAGCACCGGCUAACUACGUG